AUUGAACGCUGGCGGCAGGCCUAACACAUGCAAGUCGAGCGAGUGGCGGACGGGUGAGUAAUGUCUGGGAAACUUCCUGUUGGAGGUGGAUAACUACUGGAAACGGUAGCUUAUUCCCCAUUCCAUCAGAGGUGCCAAGAUGGGAGUAGCUCGUAGGUGGGGUAACGGCUCACCUGGGCGACGAUCCCUAGCUGGGCUGGGAGGAUGUCCAGCGGCACUGGCACUGAGACGCGGUCAAGACGCCUACGAGAGGCAGCAGUGGGGAAUAUUGGGGAGUGGGCGCAAGCCUGAUGCAGCCAUGCCGCGUAUGUGAAGAGGGCCUUCAAGUUGUAAAGCACUUUCAGCGGGGAGGCGUUACCCGCAGAAGAAGCACCGGCUAACUCCGUGCCAGCAGCCGCGGUAAUAC
rnacentral:rRNA from 1 species